rnacentral:lncRNA from 1 species
AAAAGAUAGAAAACAUUUCCUAGCCUCCCUUGCAGAUUGAUAUGACCAUGUUACUGUUUUUUAGGGAAAUGGAAUUGAAGACAACUACUUCUAGAAUUGGUGCAUGGAAGCUUCUCAUAGGUGAUUAGCCACACUCUUCUUCUGUCAACCUGGUGCAGAAAAGCUUGAAGACCUCGGAAAUCACAUAUUGAUGAUGGAGGAGAUACAAGAAUGAAGGACCCUGGGUUCCUGAAUCAACACUCUAAGAAGAGACUCCUUGAAAUCAAGAGCGCUCAUCUUGACAUUGCAAACGGAAAAAUUCACUUCUAUCAGGUGUCAUUAGUUCCUUGCUAGAAUUUCUUUGGUGUCCUUUCUGCAUUUCAAACUCACAAAGGUAAUCAGAAUUGAUAUUGAUGUUUAAGCUCACAGUAUAUACAGCACCAGUUUGCCUUUUUAAACUCAUGUUCAGCAUGUGAUAAAUAAGUCAAUUACUAUGUAUCUCAUGGGGAACUAGAAAUAAAGAAUGCUGCAGUCUUCCAG